UACGUAGGGGGCAAGCGUUGUCCGGAUUCAUUGGGCGUAAAGAGCGUGUAGGCGGCCAGGUAGGUCGGUUGUGAAAACUGGAGGCUCAACCUUCAGACGUCGACCGAAACCAUCUGGCUAGAGUCCGGGAGAGGAGAGUGGAAUUCCUGGUGUAGCGGUGAAAUGCGCAGAUAUCAGGAAGAACACCCGUAGCGAAAGCGGCUCUCUGGAACGGUACUGACGCUGAGACGCGAAAGCGUGGGGAGCGAUCCGG
rnacentral:rRNA from 1 species